rnacentral:rRNA from 1 species
CCCCUCGAGAUGAGAUUUCCCAACUUCGGUUAUAAGAUCCCUCGAAGAUGACGAGGUAAAUAGGUUCGAGGUGAAAGCGUAGUGAUACGUGGAGCUGACGAAUACUAAUCGAUCGAAGACUUAAUCAAAUU